GACAGAGGGGCCGAGCGUUAGGCGGAAUCACUGGGCUUAAAGCGUGUGUAGGCGGACCGUUAAGUACCUUGUGAAAUCCCACGGCUCAACCGUGGAACGGCUGGGUAUACUGGCGGUCUUGGGCCACCUAGGGGUCAUCGGAACAGGCGGUGGAGCGGUGAAAUGCGUAGAUAUCGCCUGGAACGCCGACGGUGAAAACAGAUGACUGGGGGUGUGCCGACGCUGAGACACGAAAGCCAGGGGAGCGAACGGG
rnacentral:rRNA from 1 species